rnacentral:piRNA from 1 species
UGCCAUCCAAGGUCUGGGUUUGUGAUGAU